CACGUAGGGGGCAAGCGUUGUCCGGAUUUAUUGGGCGUAAAGAGCUCGUAGGCGGCUCAGUAAGUCGGGUGUGAAACCCUCAGGCUCAACCUGGGGACGCCACUCGAUACUGCUGUGGCUAGAGUCCAGUAGGGGAGUGUGGAAUUCCCGGUGUAGCGGUGAAAUGCGCAGAUAUCGGGAGGAACACCAGCGGCGAAGGCGGCACUCUGGGCUGGUACUGACGCUGAGGAGCGAAAGCGUGGGUAGCAAACAGG
rnacentral:rRNA from 1 species